CUUAAGAAAAGCUGGACCCCAGCGUCACAUACUUCCCUUGUGUUAGACUGCGCCUUUUCAUCUUCCACCUUGUGACAUCAGCGCGUCCCAGCUGUGUCCCAGGAUGACAUCAGACAAAAAGGAAGACAGGCAACCCUGAAAACAGAGCCAGAAAAGACAAUAUAGGACCUACCCUGGAAGUUCUUCAAAAUGCAAAGUGCAGCAAUCUUAGGACCCAGCAGCUCCACUCCUACCAAUCUACCCAAAAGACAGAAAGAUGUACCACAUGGAAACACACAUGGACAUUCGCAGCUGCAUCGUCCAUGAUAGGCAUGAAUAGAAAUAACCCACGCGGGCUGGAGAGAUGGCUCAGCGGUUAAGAGCACCCGACUACUCUUCCAGAGGUCCUGAGUUCAAUUCCCAGCAACCACAUGGUGGCUCACAACCAUCUGUAAAGAUCUGAUGCCCUCUUCUGGUGUGUCUGAAGAUAGCUACAACUUAUAUAUAAUAAAUGAAUAAAUCUUAAAAAAAAAGAAAGAAA